GAUGAACGCUAGCGGCAGGCCUAACACAUGCAAGUCGAGGGGGAAGUUACUUUCGGGUGACUGAGACCGGCGUACGGGUGCGUAACGCGUAUACAAUCUGCCUUUCACUGGGGGAUAGCCCGAAGAAAUUUGGAUUAAUACCCCAUAGUAUAUAGGGACGGCAUCGUUUUUAUAUUAAAGCUUAGGUGGUGAAAGAUGAGUAUGCGUUCUAUUAGCUAGUUGGAGAGGUAACGGCUCCCCAAGGCGAUGAUAGAUAGGGGUUCUGAGAGGGAUGUCCCCCACACUGGUACUGAGAUACGGACCAGACUCCUACGGGAGGCAGCAGUGAGGAAUAUUGGACAAUGGUCGGAAGACUGACCCAGCCAUGCCGCGUGCAGGAUGAAGGUCUUAUGGAUUGUAAACUGCUUUUGUAAGGGAAGAAUAAGGGCUACGCGUAGUUUGAUGACGGUACCUUACGAAUAAGCAUCGGCUAACUCCGUG
rnacentral:rRNA from 1 species